CNCCUCAAAGCAAUACACUGAAAAUGUUUAGACGGGCUCACAUCACCNCAUAAACA
rnacentral:tRNA from 1 species